GAUGGACCCAUUCCUCCUACUCUCCAUCACCGUCAGCGUCACCUGCCAUGAGAGUCCUGCUGGUAUUAGUAAUGGUGGCUGCUGUGGCUGUGGCCGUCACUAAUGGCUGGUACCUAGUGAGAUCGAACCCAAAUCAUCAAGUCGCUCCUGGCAGCGACCAUUUCCGCUAUCUGACCUCAAACACCAUCUCCUUCGACAGCAACAGCGAUGAGAGUUACUCCAAUGAAAGUAAUGAUAGUGAUGAUGAUGAUGAUGAUGAUGAUGAUGAUGAUGAUGAUUUUUGAUAUAUUUGACGUUUCGGAAGUGUUGGAUCUUAGAGUACCUUUUGCACUUCGGCUCUGACCCUCCCGUGAGCACUGCCUCCUCCCGCUACCCCCUUCAAGUGACGCCCCGUAGAUGUACUCUGCCUUAACUACCUGACCACCGACUACUCACCUGUGUGCCAUGAGUUAUCACAGUGUCAAACUUGUAAAUAAAUAAGUCUCUUAAAUCUAAUGAAUGUCUGGAAGUCUCUAAUAAUCUGUCUCAUUUAUUGUGUUCUUGGCUUAUUGACACAAUGUAAACGUCGUCUUCUUGACACACUCACACACACACACAUGCUCAAUCAAUUCCUGCCGCCCUUAACAACCUUGUGAGCUAAUUGGCUGUUCGUGGUCGAGUGACUUCAAUAUUUAAUAUCAUAAAAAAAACACUUCUUAUCAAAUUAUGCUUUACACAAGACAAAACAAAACCAAAAUGAUUUAACUAAACUAACCACUGAGUCAUUAACCAACUAACACUCAAUCACCUUUACACACUACACGUAACAAGUGGUUAGUUAACUCUUAAAUAGUCGUACAUUAAUAACCUAAGUCCAUGUAUAAAAUGUUUUGUGUCUAACUAAACCAGUUUUCAAUAUACCUGACUUGGUUUAGGUUUAUCAGAAGAUAGAUUCUAUUACUAAUGACAACACCUGAGUGACGUAGUGUGCUGGCCUCACCUACGUCAAUCAAUGUACUAAUUAAAACACCUGUAUCUCA